rnacentral:lncRNA from 1 species
GCGGCGGCGGCGGUCUCCCCACCUAGGACACACACUGGGAGACACACACACACACACACCGCACAAAUAAUUGCUUCCGCCUGUCAUGAUUUCCCGUCUCUUCUGUCUCCCCUGCAUUGGCACCAAGCUCCCCAGGCGGCGGCUGCUGCUGCUGCUGCUGCUGCUGCUGCUGCUGCUGAGUUCGCCUCGCCUGGCCUGGCAUCAAGGCCACAUACUGUGCUACCACACGCUCCAUCUCAUAGAAGAGGCCCAAAUGUGCAGGACAAAGAGCUGGUGUCCAGGGCCGUAGAUCCAGCUGACUCGGGGGCAUUCUACCCUCUUGCCUGGACACACAUGCAGCUCCACAGUUGCCAGGAUGUCAAGGCGCUCUGCCAAGCAGAGGAAGAGGGGGGCUUGGCAGGGACCCCAGCUCAUCCCAGCCGCAGGCCUCAACCGAUGCGGGGACCCAGCUGCCAUCUCACCAUCCAGGGACUUCACAGGCCCCGUCUGCUUCACUUUCUUCCAAACCAAGGUGCAGACGACACCACAGCCCCAGUCACCACUGCCCUGAAGGUGCGGCUGGGAGCAUGCAGGUGAAGGAGAAUAUGCCCCAAACUUCAGCGGCUCCCGGGGACUGGUGGAAACUGAGCACGAAGACACAGAGGAGC